UUUGAAAUUAAAACACGACCAUACUUUCUUCUCUCUCCUAUCUCUGUACGCCAGAUCUGAAAUUCCUCACUCCUCAGCCUCUUGCCUCUCGACUGUGGCCUCUUUUCCCCGUCACUGUCCCUCUCUUCCACCGUCGUCGUCCCUCUGUUUCUGUCUCUCUCAAGCUUUGUAAGUUUUCCCAAUUCAAUAUUCCCCCAAUUUUUCCCUAACUAUAACCCUAUGAAAAAUUCUUCUAAAAUUUUAGUCAUACCCUGUGCUCUCUUCUAAUUCUUCCAACUCUACUUCAAGCAGCGCCAAUGCUCUCGCUCUAAACCUCCUCCGCCGCCGCCGGAGCUUCCGUCAACCGUCGAGCUUUCUCCUAGGCUGAAUUGGUUGUUGGGGUCGUUAGCGAUACCGAAAUCACGACUAACAAAGGUCCUCCCAUCACUCCUCUGAACGAGAGGUCUGUCUAUUUCACUUCAUCCCUCAAUUGAUUUGUUUUACAUUAAAACUGCAGAUUUAUUGUUAUGUAGUCAUAUUGAUUCUCCCACUAUCUAUGUUCUUUAUCUUAAAUUAAUUUAGGGAUAUUAUUGUAAUUUUUAAUUUGAAAGCUGGAACUCUCGUCUCUACCCCAUUUUCAAUUCUAUCAUUGUAAUGGUUUCAUGGAUUUUGGUUUGCACCUUAACCCCCUUCCUUUCAAGAUUAAUAGUUUGGUUUAGUUUAGUCUACUACUAAUGUUUUCUUGAAAAUAUUUAAAAUUACUUAAUAUUCUGGUUUUCCAUCGACAGAAGGUAAGCUCUUGAGCUCUCAUAUAAAGAAAAUUACCACCCACAAGCGUACAAACUGCUCCAUUUAUUCUCUUUGUUCUUGUUCUUUUGUGGGUUGCAGCUUUUCUAUGCUUAAUCCUGUAACUAAACAGAUCGGUUCUGUUCAGGAUCUUUUAAGGUACUAUUUCUCUCUAUCUUUAUUUUGUUCUUUUCUAUUAUGAACAUUUGUUUUGUCUAUCAUUGAGGUAUUGGUUAUGGUAAUUCAUGUUUUUAUCUGGCAAGUUGUAGUUUUUAUUAGUGUUUGAGUUAUUGGGUUGUUAGUUUUAUGGAUGAAACUUUAAACUUGAACUUUAAUUUGGUGUUUGAUAUGAUUUUUCAUGAGUAAUUUAGGGUUAUUGGUUGUUGUUGGUUUCAGUUCUUAGAGUAAUCGUUCUUUCUGUUGGGAAAAUGUUGGUCUUUAUUGGUAAUUGAAAUGAGAAAGAUACAACACUUAGUGAUUAUGUAUUAUGGAUUAAUUGGGUUCCAUUAUGUUUUUCAUUUGGGGGUGGGAAGGUGUGUGUAUAUGUGUAUAGCAGGAUAACAAAUGUUGAUUUGUGAUAAGUUGUCCAGGCUUUUGAAGGUUGAAAUUUGUUACUUUUAUUAGUUUUGUUGCAAUCAGAAUCUUUUAGCUUGGUUUAGAGUUAAAUCAGUUUCACUUUAAUGUAGUAUACUUACUCCAGAGAGUCCUUUCUCCUAGUAAUUGUCAUGUCCAUGCAAUUGUGUGUGUUGUGAGAGUUGGAUGGUUUGCACAUUAUAAAGGUCCAAUGGC
rnacentral:lncRNA from 1 species